CCUACGGGUGGCAGCAGUGAGGAAUAUUGGUCAAUGGGCGGAAGCCUGAACCAGCCACGCCGCGUGAGGGAAGAAGGUACAGCGUAUCGUAAACCUCUUUUGUCAGGGAACAAAGGCGGGGACUAGUCCCCGGAUGAGGGUACCUGAAGAAAAAGCAUCGGCUAACUCCGUGCCAGCAGCCGCGGUAAAACGGAGGUUGCGAGCGUUAUCCGGAUUUAUUGGGUUUAACGGGUGCGCAGGCGGCCUGUUACGUCAGCGGUAAAAGCCCGGGGCUCAACCCCGGCGAGCCGUUGAAACUGGCGGGCUGGAGUGGGAGAGAAGGACGUGGAAUGCGGGGUGUAGCGGUGAAAUGCUUAGAUA
rnacentral:rRNA from 1 species